rnacentral:lncRNA from 1 species
CCUGCACCAUCUAUGCUCGAGUCACAAUCACCAAUCCAGUCAUCUGUUCCUGAGUCAACUUCAGCGUCUGUACCGGUCAGUGAGCUUCCACGAUUAGAGUCUAAUUUACAAACAUGUUCUAUCACCAACAACAACUAUGAUGCACCUAAUACGGAAUGCAUUAAACCUGCAGUUCGUGAUCCUAUUGUUACAAGGUCUCACCAUAAUAUCUUCAAACCAAAG